UACGUAGGGUGCGAGCGUUAAUCGGAAUUACUGGGCGUAAAGCGUGCGCAGGCGGUAAUGUAAGACAGAUGUGAAAUCCCCGGGCUUAACCUGGGACCUGCAUUUGUGACUGCAUUGCUAGAGUACGGUAGAGGGGGAUGGAGUUCCGCGUGUAGCAGUGAAAUGCGUAGAUAUGCGGAGGAACACCGAUGGCGAAGGCAAUCCCCUGGACCUGUACUGACGCUCAUGCACGAAAGCGUGGGGAGCAAACAGG
rnacentral:rRNA from 1 species